rnacentral:rRNA from 1 species
AGCGAACGCUGGCGGCAGGCCUAACACAUGCAAGUCGAACGAACUAUUCGGAGUUAGCGGCGGACGGGUGAGUAACACGUGGGAACGUGCCUUUUGGUUCGGAAUCACUCAGGGAAACUUGUGCUAAUACAGAAUGUGCCCAUCGGGGGAAAGAUUUAUCGCCAUUAGAGCGGCACUCGUCUGAUUCGCUGGUUGGUGAGGUAACGGCUCAUCAAGGCGACGAUCAGUAGCUGGUCUGAGAGGAUGACCAGCCACACUGGGACUGGGACACGGCCGAGACUCCUACGGGAGGCAGCAGUGGGGAAUCUUGCGCAAUGGGCGAAAGCCUGACGCUGCCAUGCCGCGUGAAUGAUGUAGUUCUGAGGAUUGAAAAAUUCUUUCACCGGUGACCAUCAUGACGGUACCCGAAGAGGAAGCCCCGGCUAACUACGUG